rnacentral:siRNA from 1 species
UGAAGGGUUGCACACGCUUCUCUU